CAGCUAUAAUGCAGUCGAGCGGACAGAUGGGAGCUUGCUCCCUGAUGUUAGCGGCGGACGGGUGAGUAACACGUGGGUAACCUGCCUGUAAGACUGGGAUAACUCCGGGAAACCGGGGCUAAUACCGGAUGGUUGUUUGAACCGCAUGGUUCAAACAUAAAAGGUGGCUUCGGCUACCACUUACAGAUGGACCCGCGGCGCAUUAGCUAGUUGGUGAGGUAACGGCUCACCAAGGCAACGAUGCGUAGCCGACCUGAGAGGGUGAUCGGCCACACUGGGACUGAGACACGGCCCAGACUCCUACGGGAGGCAGCAGUAGGGAAUCUUCCGCAAUGGACGAAAGUCUGACGGAGCAACGCCGCGUGAGUGAUGAAGGUUUUCGGAUCGUAAAGCUCUGUUGUUAGGGAAGAACAAGUACCGUUCGAAUAGGGCGGUACCUUGACGGUACCUAACCAGAAAGCCACGGCUAACUACGUGCCAGCAGCCGCGGUAAUACGUAGGUGGCAAGCGUUGUCCGGAAUUAUUGGGCGUAAAGGGCUCGCAGGCGGUUUCUUAAGUCUGAUGUGAAAGCCCCCGGCUCAACCGGGGAGGGUCAUUGGAAACUGGGGAACUUGAGUGCAGAAGAGGAGAGUGGAAUUCCACGUGUAGCGGUGAAAUGCGUAGAGAUGUGGAGGAACACCAGUGGCGAAGGCGACUCUCUGGUCUGUAACUGACGCUGAGGAGCGAAAGCGUGGGGAGCGAACAGGAUUAGAUACCCUGGUAGUCCACGCCGUAAACGAUGAGUGCUAA
rnacentral:rRNA from 1 species